rnacentral:rRNA from 1 species
CGGGAGGAUCGAGUGUUAUUCGUGAUGACUGGGCGUAAAGGGUACGUAGGCUGUUAUGCAAAAGUAUAGAAAAGACUGAGGUACCCCCUCUUUCCACUAUGCUCACUACAUAACUUGAGUUCGUUAGGUGGUCUCAGAACUUCUAAUGGAGGGGUGAAAUCCGUUGAUAUUAAAAGGACUUUCAGUGGCGAAAGCAUUGACCAAUUUCGAUCUGACGCUAAGGUACGAGAGCGUGGGGAGCAAAGAGGAUU